UGGGGAAUAUUGCACAAUGGGCGAAAGCCUGAUGCAGCAACGCCGCGUGAGGGACGACGGCCUUCGGGUUGUAAACCUCUUUUAGCAGGAAAGAAGCGAAAGUGACGGUACCUGCAGAAAAAGCGCCGGCUAACUACGUGCCAGCAGCCGCGGUAAUACGUAGGGCGCAAGCGUUAUCCGGAAUUAUUGGGCGUAAAGAGCUCGUAGGCGGUCUGUCGCGUCUGCUGUGAAAACCCGAGGCUCAACCUCGGGCCUGCAGUGGGUACGGGCAGACUAGAGUGCGGUAGGGGAGAUUGGAAUUCCUGGUGUAGCGGUGGAAUGCGCAGAUAUCAGGAGGAACACCGAUGGCGAAGGCAGAUCUCUGGGCCGUAACUGACGCUGAGGAGCGAAAGGGUGGGGAGCAAACAGG
rnacentral:rRNA from 1 species